AAAUGACUUCAUGUGGUAACAACCAAGUUCUUGUGAGCACGGGAUACAAUUUGUCUCAUUUAACAGCACCAACUCCGGCUCGUCUUUAGCGCUGGCCCUGGUUGGGGUUUGGUUUUGUUCUCCUCUUCUUGUGCUCAGCUCUAAUACUGAGUCUUGAAUGCUCUGGACAUUGUGGAACACCCAAUCCACAGAUAGUGGCAGAGCAGGGAAAUGCUGGGACACAGAGGAGGGGCGAUAUUGAAAUGGAUGAAAGGCAGAGAUCUGCUGGGACGGAGGAAAGCACUAGACAGCAGACACCUACACACACCGCGGUAGAGCAGGGUACUGAUGAGACACAGGCUGGGGAAGAGUCUGAAACGGAUCCACUGCAGGGCACAGACAGGACAUAGGAAAGCAGGAAAUAGCAGACAUCUACACAUAAAUGUAUAUGCUGAACUGUCAUCAAAGUCUGCACAGCUUUUUAGAACAAAGAGCUAACAAGAGAGCACCACUUAAUGACUGUAACAUUUUAUCCUCUUUUAAAUCUUUUUAUGCUUUCUAUGAGUAGACAUUUUUUGCAUUAUGUAUAAGUUUUUUUGUUUAUGUGAUUUACUGGAGGAAAGAUGGUUGAGUAAGAAUUAUUAUUAUUUUUAUUUUCAAACUUAAACUUUUACAUAGUUAUAACAGUUCAUUUGCUUCUGCAUGUUGUGUUUAAUGGAUUUUCCUGAAAUUUCUUUGUUUUUUUUUAUUUUAUUUUAUUUUUUUCCUGUUAUACAAGUGGGCAUUUGACCCACCACUUUUCAAAAUAUUGUGAUACCCCACCACUUUUUGAGUUCAGAACGCAAACAUAAAAACCUCUUUCCCUAAACUGCAUUACGUGCUGACCAGCACAAACAGGCACAGUAAAACUGAGCAGCAGAGCCAAUCAGAAUCUCAAUUUCAGCUGGGAGGCGCUGUUGGAGCUGCCUUGGUUGAUGGGGCCUGUCAAACUUUUAUGUAGUUUGGUUUUGAAAUGCAACUCUACCUGAAUUCAGGCAACUGAACCACAUUAAUUCAUGAGGUAAUUCAACAUCAGAGUGCAUUUUUUUCCUGUGAUAAUUAUUACUGUCUGCACAAUCUGCUGCUUUAACAUGUUACUCUUUACAAACGCUCAUUGUUCCUGCACUGCAAGCCACUGUAAAUGACAAAGGACAAGCAGUAAAACAAUGACUUGUGUUUGAUUAUGCAUUGUAGAGCAAAUCUUUGGCCAAGCAUCAGUGACCUGAUCGGAUAAAUUUAAACGGGUAUACGCAUAGAUGAUAAGUGUCUCUAUUUUCUGUUUUCCACCUGCGGAAGCAGCAUCAAAACAAACACAGACACUAUUCAUGAUCAGGUUCAGAGGUGGGUGUAGGAGCCUAAACCAGCACAAAAUACUAAUACUCGCAUAAUACUCAUAUCUGCAGGAGCGAAUGCCAAAUACUUAAAAGAAUUUCUCUUUUUAUAGAUUUUCCUCCAUUCCACUUAACGUAUUGGACACUAUGCCUAAGAA